rnacentral:rRNA from 1 species
UCGAGCGAGAAAGCUGACUUCGGUCAGUGAGUACAGCGGCGAACGGGUGAGUAACAGGUGGGUAACGUACCUCGAAGUGAGGGAUAGCCCGGGGAAACUCGAGUUAAUACCUCAUAUGGCCGCGGGAUCUACGGCUCCUGCGGGUAAAGAUUUCGGUCGCUUCGAGAUCGGCCCGCCCCCGAUUAGCUUGUUGGUGAGGUAAUGGCUCACCAAGGCGGCGAUCGGUAGCUGGCCUGAGAGGGUGGUCAGCCACACUGGGACUGAGACACGGCCCAGACUCCUACGGGAGGCAGCAGUCUAGAAGCUUCGGCAAUGGGCGAAAGCCUGACCGAGCGACGCCGCGUGCGGGAUUGAAGGCCUUCGGGUCGUAAACCGCUGUCAGGAGGGAAGAAUGCUCCGGUGGUGAACCGGAGAGCGACGGUACCUCCAGAGGAAGCCCCGGCCAACUCCGUGCCAGCAGCCGCGGUAAUACGGAGGGGGCGAGCGUUAAUCGGAAUUACUGGGCGUAAAGGGUGCGUANGUGGUUGCGCAAGUCUGGUGUGAAAACUUCACCGCUCAACGGGAAGAUGUCAUUGGAAACUGCGUAACUCGAGCGUGGCAGAGGCGAGCGGGAUUCCGGGUGUAGCGGUGGAAUGUGUAGAUAUCCGGAAGAACACCAGUGGCGAAGGCGGCUCGCUGGGCCACUGCUGACACUGAGGCACGGAAGCGUGGGGAGCGAACGGGAUUAGAUACCCCGUGUAGUCCACGCCGUAAACGGUGCGCACUAGGUGUUGGAGGUAUCGACCCCUCCAGUGCCGCAGCUAACGCAUUAAGUGCGCCGNCUGGGGAGUACGGCCGCAAGGGCUGANACUCAAAGGAAUUGACGGUGGCCCGCACAAGCGGUGGAGGAUGUUGUUUAAUUUCGGAUGCAAAACGCGAAGAACCUUACCCGGGCUUGAACUGCAAGGUAAACCCCUGGAAACAGGGGCUGUGGUUCGCCACGACCUUGUAGAGGUGCUGCAUGGCUGUCGCCAGCUCGUGUCGUGAGAUGUUGGGUUAAGUCCCGCAACGAGCGCAACCCCUGUCGUUAGUUGCCAACGGUUCGGCCGGGCACUCUAGCGGGACUGCCGGUGAUAAACCG